rnacentral:tRNA from 1 species
GGAGAGGUGGCAGAGUGGUCGAAUGCAACGGUUUGCUAAACCGUCGUACGGUUAAUAAACUGUACCGAGGGUUCGAAUCCCUCCCUCUCCG